UGGGGAAUAUUGGACAAUGGGGGGAACCCUGAUCCAGCCAUGCCGCGUGCGUGAAGAAGGCCUUAUGGUUGUAAAGCACUUUAAGCGAGGAGGAGGGUACUGGUAUUAAUACUACCAGCUACUGGACGUUACUCGCAGAAUAAGCACCGGCUAACUCUGUGCCAGCAGCCGCGGUAAUACAGAGGGUGCGAGCGUUAAUCGGAUUUACUGGGCGUAAAGCGUGCGUAGGCGGCUAAUUGAGUCGGAUGUGAAAUCCCCGAGCUUAACUUGGGAAUUGCAUUCGAUACUGGUUAGCUAGAGUGUGGGAGAGGAUGGUAGAAUUCCAGGUGUAGCGGUGAAAUGCGUAGAGAUCUGGAGGAAUACCGAUGGCGAAGGCAGCCAUCUGGCCUAACACUGACGCUGAGGUACGAAAGCAUGGGGAGCAAACAGG
rnacentral:rRNA from 1 species